rnacentral:rRNA from 1 species
AACGAACGCUGGCGGCAUGCCUAACACAUGCAAGUCGAACGAGAUCUUCGGGUCUAGUGGCGCACGGGUUCGUAACUCGUGGGAAUCUGCCCUUUGGUUCGGAAUAACAGUUGGAAACGACUGCUAAUACCGGAUGAUGACGAAAGUCCAAAGAUUUAUCGCCAGAGGAUGAGCCCGCGUAGGAUUAGCUAGUUGGUGUGGUAAAGGCGCACAAAGGCGACGAUCCUUAGCUGGUCUGAGAGGAUGAUCAGCCACACUGGGACUGAGACACGGCCCAGAAUUGUACGGGAGGCAGCAGUGGGGAAUAUUGGACAAUGGGCGAAAGCCUGAUCAAGCAAUGCCGCGUGAGUGAUGAAGGCCUUAGGGUUGUAAAGCUCUUUUACCCGGGAUGAUAAUGACAGUACCGGGAGAAUAAGCUCCGGCUAACUCCGUGCCAGCCGCCGCGGUAA